GAUGAAGAACGCAGCGAAAUGCGAUAAGUAAUGUGAAUUGCAGAAUUCAGUGAAUCAUCGAAUCUUUGAACGCACAUUGCGCCCCUUGGUAUUCCGAGGGGCAUGCCUGUUCGAGCGUCAUAUUAACCACUCCCGCUUGCGGGGUCUUGGGCUUCGCCUCCGGGCGGGCCUUAAAAUCAGUGGCGGUGCCGUCGGGCUCUACGCGUAGUAAAUUUUCUCGCGAUAGGGUCCCGGUGGAUGCUUGCCAACAACCCCCAACUUCUUAAGGUUGACCUCGGAUCAGGUAGGGAUACCCGCUGAACUUAAGCAUUUCAAUAAGCGGAGGA
rnacentral:misc_RNA from 1 species